rnacentral:rRNA from 1 species
UGGGUCAGCGACUUAUAUUCUGUAGCAAGGUUAACCGAAUAGGGGAGCCGGAGGGAAACCGAGUCUUAACCGGGCGUUAAGUUGCAGGGUAUAGACCCGAAACCCGGUGAUCUAGCCAUGGGCAGGUUGAAGGUUGGGUAACACUAACUGGAGGACCGAACCGACUAAUGUUGAAAAAUUAGCGGAUGACCUGUGGCUGGGGGUGAAAGGCCAAUCAAACCGGGAGAUAGCUGGUUCUCCCCGAAAGCUAUUUAGGUAGCGCCUCGUGAAUUCAUCUCCGGGGGUAGAGCACUGUUUCGGCUAGGGGGCCAUCCCGGCUUACCAACCCGAUGCAAACUGCGAAUACCGGAGAAUGUUAUCACGGGAGACACACGGCGGGUGCUAACGUCCGUCGUGAAGAGGGAAACAACCCAGACCGCCAGCUAAGGUCCCAAAGUCAUGGUUAAGUGGGAAACGAUGUGGGAAGGCCCAGACAGCCAGGAUGUUGGCUUAGAAGCAGCCAUCAUUUAAAGAAAGCGUAAUAGCUCACUGGUCGAGUCGGCCUGCGCGGAAGAUGUAACGGGGCUAAACCAUGCACCGAAGCUGCGGCAGCGACGCUGAUGCGUUGUUGGGUAGGGGAGCGUUCUGUAAGCCUGCGAAGGUGUGUCGUGAGGCAUGCUGGAGGUAUCAGAAGUGCGAAUGCUGACAUAAGUAACGAUAAAGCGGGUGAAAAGCCCGCUCGCCGGAAGACCAAGGGUUCCUGUCCAACGUUAAUCGGGGCAGGGUGAGUCGACCCCUAAGGCGAGGCCGAAAGGCGUAGUCGAUGGGAAACGGGUUAAUAUUCCCGUACUUGGUGUUACUGCGAAGGGGGGACGGAGAAGGCUAUGUUGGCCGGGCGACGGUUGUCCCGGUUUAAGCGUGUAGGUGUGUGUUCCAGGUAAAUCCGGUUCACUUUAACACUGAGGCGUGAUGACGAGGCACUACGGUGCUGAAGCAACAAAUGCCCUGCUUCCAGGAAAAGCCUCUAAGCAUCAGGUAACAUCAAAUCGUACCCCAAACCGACACAGGUGGUCAGGUAGAGAAUACCAAGGCGCUUGAGAGAACUCGGGUGAAGGAACUAGGCAAAAUGGUGCCGUAACUUCGGGAGAAGGCACGCUGACACGUAGGUGAAGUGAUUUACUCAUGGAGCUGAAGUCAGUCGAAGAUACCAGCUGGCUGCAACUGUUUAUUAAAAACACAGCACUGUGCAAACACGAAAGUGGACGUAUACGGUGUGACGCCUGCCCGGUGCCGGAAGGUUAAUUGAUGGGGUCAGCGCAAGCGAAGCUCCUGAUCGAAGCCCCGGUAAACGGCGGCCGUAACUAUAACGGUCCUAAGGUAGCGAAAUUCCUUGUCGGGUAAGUUCCGACCUGCACGAAUGGCGUAAUGAUGGCCAGGCUGUCUCCACCCGAGACUCAGUGAAAUUGAACUCGCUGUGAAGAUGCAGUGUACCCGCGGCAAGACGGAAAGACCCCGUGAACCUUUACUAUAGCUUGACACUGAACAUUGAGCCUUGAUGUGUAGGAUAGGUGGGAGGCUUUGAAGUGUGGACGCCAGUCUGCAUGGAGCCGGCCUUGAAAUACCACCCUUUAAUGUUUGAUGUUCUAACGUGGACCCGUGAUCCGGGUUGCGGACAGUGUCUGGUGGGUAGUUUGACUGGGGCGGUCUCCUCCUAAAGAGUAACGGAGGAGCACGAAGGUUGGCUAAUCCUGGUCGGACAUCAGGAGGUUAGUGCAAUGGCAUAAGCCAGCUUGACUGCGAGCGUGACGGCGCGAGCAGGUGCGAAAGCAGGUCAUAGUGAUCCGGUGGUUCUGAAUGGAAGGGCCAUCGCUCAACGGAUAAAAGGUACUCCGGGGAUAACAGGCUGAUACCGCCCAAGAGUUCAUAUCGACGGCGGUGUUUGGCACCUCGAUGUCGGCUCAUCACAUCCUGGGGCUGAAGUAGGUCCCAAGGGUAUGGCUGUUCGCCAUUUAAAGUGGUACGCGAGCUGGGUUUAGAACGUCGUGAGACAGUUCGGUCCCUAUCUGCCGUGGGCGCUGGAGAACUGAGGGGGGCUGCUCCUAGUACGAGAGGACCGGAGUGGACGCAUCACUGGUGUUCGGGUUGUCAUGCCAAUGGCACUGCCCGGUAGCUAAAUGCGGAAGAGAUAAGUGCUGAAAGCAUCUAAGCACGAAACUUGCCCCGAGAUGAGUUCUCCCUGAGACUUAGAGUCUCCUGAAGGAACGUUGAAGACGACGACGUUGAUAGGCCGGGUGUGUAAGCGCAGCGAUGCGUUGAGCUAACCGGUACUAAUGAACCGUGAGGCUUAACCUU